rnacentral:lncRNA from 1 species
CUUUAUUCUUCAUACUCAUCAUUUCUUACAGGAGAGUAAUAUUACAUUUAUGAGUUUAAUGAGAGGCUGAUGAGUAAGCACAGUGUGCUCAACUAAUGCAAUCCCCAUGUGGAAGAAUUUGGAGAGCCGCUAUCCAGAAAGAUAUGACAAGGUGUAAAGGAAGGACCUUGCUCUCUAACUGAGAGCAUGUGUGCUAACCAUGUGGUAAAGGGGUGCCUUUAGAACCUGCUCUGGAACCAGAGUUUGAGGGCAUCUCUUGAAGACCCCAUGAUCAUUCUUAUCUAAAGAUGACAUGACUGUGUGAUCUGCAUAAAUAAUGUGACUGUGAAACACGGACCUCUAUUCCCUCUCUUUUUAUUAUUUCCUGUUUUAGGUGAAGGAGUACUGGGGAUAUCCAUGACCUCAUGAGUUUUGAAAGAUCAGAAUGUGCUGUGAAGACUCUGGAUCCAGCCAAUGAUGGGGUUCAACGGAGUCAAUCACUCCACUUCAAGGAACUAAACAAGAUUGAUAGCUUUACUAGGCGAUAAAACCUCCAUUGUAUGCAUCAAUAACAAUCAUUAAAACCAUGAAAAGGUGGUAAUCAUUUUGGAAGGAGUGAAAGCCAAAGGAAGAAGUAAAAGGCUGCUAGGAAGGGAAGGGUAUUGAGAUGGGUUAAGGAGACUAAAUCAUGCUUCCUAUGAUUUGUAUGAAAUGUCAUUCGAGGGACAGAGCAGAUUCUGAAAGAGAAUAGAAUUCCCAGACCCUAAGAAAUCUGAGUUAGGUGAGGUACUUGGUAUUAUUGCC